UGUCAAAGGAUGGGAAUCGAACCCACGACCUUCCGCUUACCGGGCAGAUGCCAUGACCACUAGGCUACCCUGGAC
rnacentral:tRNA from 1 species